UUGAUUUAAGGGGGAGGGGGUCGAUUUUUAAUAAUUUCAAUCGAUUACUUAAAGAUGGCAAUACUGUCGUCUGCUUUCGAUUUGUUUACAAGUUUUGAAAUAGAGAGGAAGUUUUUAAAGAUUAUAAAGAAAACGGAGCAAUCACAUAUUUGGAAAGGUACACGUGACUGCACGAAAAAGUAGAACAAGAAAAUUGCAAGAAUGUGGUCGUCGUUUGAGCCCUGAUUGACUACACAUCCAUGUAUCCACCUGUUUAGCAGAUUUGAGACCUGAGCCUACCAUAAUAUAACCACAAGAUAUGCAAGUUUUGCUUGUGUUGGACCUGUCAUCAGCAUCAUUGCUUAGAUACAUAACAUUCCUCUUGAUUGGCUUUCUUCUUCUAUUACCGAUAUCGGGCAAGUUACGGAUCUCUUCUUCCGAGAACGCCUUUCAUUCCUAUCCAGCUUGGUGGAUUAUUCCAUUUUUCUGCGAAUAGAGCACUUGAUGAUGCCUGGCCGUAUUUCCCGGGCUUAAAUAAGAAUUCGAAGGAAUCGCCUUUGGGCCGACGACUAAUGAAAUUGCUGCGUCGUCGAUUCAACUGAUAGUCAAGCGGCGACAGCUGGGCGUAUGCUGGAUUAAUUCCAUCACGAAAGAUGCACAAUCACUUGAAUUUCUACUGCAAUAAAUCGAUCUACAUCCGUAAUGUACGUCCGUUGGUUUCGAGCAGUGGCGAAAUACUGCACGUCGGAAGUGAAGUACGUCCCUCGCUUAUAUGCGUAUUGCGCUCACGGUCCCGAUUCCACUUCAAGAUUCUAUUUCAUCUUUCUCUCAUUCGAUACAUAUUGUUCUUCACUGGAAUUCAACUUUCACUGCACUGCAUCCUACGUAAUUGGCAAGUUUAUUCUAUUUUAUUUGUAAAUUAUUACAAAUUGUAUAGUUUCAUUAGCCAUUUUGGCUGGCUCCGACGUUAUUGCUAAGCAACUAGUUUGUUGCGUCGUAGCAUUCUUUUGUUAGUUGAUAUAACGAAUUCCUUUAUUAAUUUCCACGAAUCCACAGAUUGUUCUCAAUUGUUAUUCCAGUGGAGAAAUCUUGACAAGAAGAUGCCCGGCGGGGGGACGAAUCUGGGAAAGAUUAAAUCGUUGCUCUUAUCGAAAAUGGGUUUAUUCGCUUUCUGGCCAAAUCAUAAAAGAAGAAUAUAAAUUCACUUUGCAGAUUUGACGGGUUAUAUGGGACCUUACAAGUCAAUAAACAACGUAUACGUCGUCAAAUGUCAAUGACGCAGUUUAUUGACAUUGAACCAGAUAUUGGUUUGGUUUAGUUUCAGGAUCGCCUUGGCCGUUGGAAACAUAACGCGUGCCGCUGUUCUCAGUGACAAUAAUAAAGUCCCUCCGUUUAUCAAAUUAAAUUAUUUCGUGUGUAAAAUCGGUCGUCUCAGCUUCUCUUGAACUUUAUUGAUUCUCACUCGUGCGCGCUUCUGUUACGUACAAAUAUUUAUUUUUGUUUUUUCCUCUUGUCGAUUCUAAAAAAAUCUACUGCAGACAUACACUCCCGAGAAGAGCGUUGGCGUUCUUCCUUGGGGAUCAUAGGGUAUCUCUCCGCAGGAUCAAAUCGGCAGUGAGUGUUUCCUUCUUUGUCUGCGAUUGUAAAAAAAAAUAUUUUUCACUUUUGGUUCACCUGCGUCAUUGUGCAUAGGAAAAUAUUUGUCCCAUGACGACUGCCGAGUGCGCCAGAGUCAAGAUACAAAAAUAGGUCUGACAAUUGCAUAUCCAAUAUCCAAAAUAUUUUAGGCUGCCAUUUGGCUUAGGUCUACGAAUGUUUCCUCGGAUAUUGUGUUUGGUUUCACAUUCGUCCUCCAAGUGGUCGCCGACGACUGGACGAUCCUGUUUUUGAUUAUUAUUAUUUUAUCGCUCAACAGUUGCUAGGCGAUGCUCAGCUCUUGGCAUUGAGGAUUAAACAGCACGCGCAAAUGUGAUACACGCGAGACUAGGUUGGUUCAACACAGUCCAUUGUAUUGGAAGACCAGAAUGAUAUUUUAGGACGUUUACAAGCAGGUGCGACACACAGGUGAAAACGAUUAAUUGGUUCACAUUUGGAGGGCUAUAUUUACCUCGCCGUGGAGUAGUUCCCAUCAUUAAAGUUCUACCUUUCAAAAACUUCUUCAUAUUUAAGUUGACAAUUUCACAGUUAAAAACUGGGGGAUAUUUUUCAACUGAAAUUGCCUCCCAAGUAGAUUAUUCACUUUAUCUGGAAUUUUGGUGGUUUUCAUCAGUACUCCUUCCGGAUUCAAUACUACUCUGAUGAACCUUGAUUAGAUCAUCCGCACUGUAACAACAAAGUAGCAAUUGGGUAGGCUCUUCCUGGAACUCGGCAGCCUAGAGCACUCUAUAGGGUAUAGAGUUCGAUAGUCGAAAUUGAACCAGGGAGGAACUAAAAACUUCACCAUGUAUGAAGUAGUUUUUAAUUUCAUUACCUGCACAAUCUUAGCCGAAUAGCGACUCGCUAGAUUCCCAAUUUGAUGGAGGGCUGUCGGUACCGACUGACUUGAUCGUAAGGUGAGAAAAGCCAAUUAGAAUCAAUGCAAAGACAGUAAUUAUAACUUAAAACAAAAAUCUUAGUUUAACAUCGUAGGAGAGACGGAAUAUUACAGAUAUUCUCUGAGACUGGACUGUAAGGUAAUAGCUUUGACCUUUCUGAAUAAUUACGAUGCUUCAUUGAAUUACACGUAAUUAUUCAGGAUGUCUGAGUAUGUACUAUGUGCACGAACACGGGCCAAUUAAGCCAAUCAGAAAGUGUUAACUUUCAUGGACAUGGGAUCGAUCGAUAAAUAUCAUUAAACACUUCUCAGUGGGCGUUACGGACUUUAAGAAAACUAUAGGUACUCAUCGAAUGCAACGAUGAUGUAAUAAAAAAGGACGAAUUGCAUCAGCCACGAUCCUUUUCCAAUCUUCCCCAGUCAAAUUGCUUGUACAUACGUCAACUUUUUCGCUGUGCCAACAACUUGAGAUUGACGAGAGAAACUUCUUAUUACAGACUUUACACAGCGCAUAAGCAAAGGAUUACGUAGUUUGUUAUACAUCCACUCCUUAUCAUGUGUCGAGUAGUUUUCCAUUAACAAGUUUCGAUUUGAACUCUCUGACGGACACCUCUGUCUAUCGUAGCGACUGUAAAUGAUCGUAAUGAUCCAUAGGUGCAGUUACUAGACAAAAAUCAACUUUGUGUUCAAUGGGAAAUGCGAGCAACAGCUGAUUGCAGUUCGUUAUAGCAUUAGUAACCAUUGAAUACGAUACACUUGGUAAAAAAUAUUUUAUUGUUUCAAAUUUUCAUCUUUAUAAAAUACCCUUUCAGCAAAAGAAUCACAACAAACAUAUAUCGAAAUGAAAAACAAAGAAACAGUGUUGGUCACAAGAAAAGCUCCCAUAACAUUGCACACGCACAAUCGUAUGUUUCAUACGCAUUCUCUUUGUUUUAGUGGUAAACCAAAAACAAUUCGC